AUUCCAGCUCCAGUAGCGUAUAUUAUUACUGUUGUAGUUAAAAAGCUCGUAGUUGAAUAUCUGGCGUUGGGAAGCCCUGCCCGCCGCGAUUCGCGUGUGAGUUGUGGGGCGUCCCCGCCAUCCUGUGUGGGAGCCCGCCUACCCUUCAUUGGGCCGGGCGGUGCGAGCACACUCAGUUACUUUGAGAAAAUCUGCGCGUUCAAAGCAGGCACACGCUAUGAAAGCUUCAGCAUGGAAUAAUAAUUUAGGACUUGGUAUCCUAUUUUGUUGGUUUUCAGGAUCUAAGUAAUGAUUGAUAGGGAUAGUUGGGGGUGCUAGUAUUUUGCGGCCAGAGGUGAAAUUCUGUGAUUCGCGAAAGACUAACUUAUGCGAAAGCAUUCACCAAGGAUGUCUUCAUUA
rnacentral:rRNA from 1 species